rnacentral:lncRNA from 1 species
AUGCCUGUUGUCUUUUUACUCCCUCACACUUGUGGCACAUAUGCAUUUGCACCUAUACACACAAACAUAAAGGAAAAAUGAAUGCCAACUUGACUGCUAGAAUUUUCUUUCUUCUAGGACCUUCUGCUGCUGUGCCUGGAAUGAACAACUUGGGUCCAUCCAAUUCCAGCUGUCCUCGAGUGUUCCCUCAGCCUGGGACUCUGAUGUCAAUGGGUCCUGGACAUGCCCCUGUUUCCUCUCUCCCCCCAAGCUCAGGCCAGCAGGACCGUGGAGUGGCCCAGUUUACUGGGUCCCAGAGUUUGCCUCACAACAGCCUUUAUGGCAU